CCCUUAGAUGUUCUGGGCUGCACGCGCGCUACACUGACAUGUCCAGCGAGCUCCCAACCUGCUCGGCAAAGAAUGGGUACCCUUUUUAACGCAUGUCGUGAUGGGGAUAGAUUAUUGCAAUUGUUGAUCUUGAACGAGGAAUUCCUAGUAAGUGCAAGUCAUUAGCUUGUGCUGAAUACGUCCCUGCCCUUUGUACACACCGCCCGUCGCUCCUACCGAUUGAAUGUGCCAGUGAAAAGUUCGGAUUGGAGAUAGGAGACGGCAACGUAUCCUAUUUCCGAGAAAAUCUUUAAACUUUCCCAUUUAGAGGAAGGAGAAGUCGUAACA
rnacentral:rRNA from 1 species